GUUCUCAUAGUUGAAAACAACAGUGGCUCUUCAAGUCACAAGUCUUAGUGAAAGUCUGAGUGAGAAUU
rnacentral:tRNA from 1 species